UACGUAGGGUGCAAGCGUUGUCCGGAAUUAUUGGGCGUAAAGAGCUCGUAGGCGGUUUGUUGCGUCGGCUGUGAAAUCCCGAGGCUCAACCUCGGGUCUGCAGUCGAUACGAGCAAACUAGAGUGUUGCAGGGGAGACUGGAAUUCCUGGUGUAGCGGUGAGAUGCGCAGAUAUCAGGAGGAACACCGGUGGCGAAGGCGGGUCUCUGGGCAACAACUGACGCUGAGGAGCGAAAGCGUGGGGAGCGAACAGG
rnacentral:rRNA from 1 species